AGCGAACGCUGGCGGCGUGCCUAACACAUGCAAGUCGAACGUGAAAGGGAGCAAUCCUGAGUAAAGUGGCGUACGGGUGAGUAACGCGUAGGUAAUCUACCCCAAAAUCUGGAAUAACCUGCCGAAAGGCGGGCUAAUACUGGAUAGAGCGACGGAAUCCGUAAUUGGGUUUCUCGGGAAAGGGAGGGAGCAAUCCCCUUCGUUUUGGGAUGAGCCUGCGUCUCAUUAGCUAGUUGGUGGGGUAAUGGCCCACCAAGGCAUUGAUGGGUAGCUGGUCUGAGAGGAUGAUCAGCCACACUGGAACUGAAACACGGUCCAGACUCCUACGGGUGGCAG
rnacentral:rRNA from 1 species